rnacentral:rRNA from 1 species
AGAGUUUGAUCCUGGCUCAGGAUGAACGCUAGCGGCAGGCUUAACACAUGCAAGUCGAGGGGCAGCGCGGGGUAGCAAUACUCUGGCGGCGACCGGCGGAAGGGUGCGUAACACGUGAGCGACUUGCCCGAUACAGGGAGAUAACCGGUGGAAACGCCGCCUAAUAUCCCAUACGACUAGAGGCUGCAUGGCCUUGAGUUGAAAGGUUCGCCGGUAUCGGAUAGGCUCGCGGGACAUUAGCUUGAUGGCGGGGCAACGGCCCACCAUGGCGACGAUGUCUAGGGGUUCUGAGAGGAAGACCCCCCACACUGGGACUGAGACACGGCCCAGACUCCUACGGGAGGCAGCAGUGAGGAAUAUUGGUCAAUGGGCGGAAGCCUGAACCAGCCAUGCCGCGUGAAGGACUAAGGCCCUAUGGGUCGUAAACUUCUUUAGACGCAGAGCAAUAAGGGCCUCGCGAGGUCCGAUGAGAGUAUGCGUAGAAUAAGCAUCGGCUAACUCCGUGCCAGCAGCCGCGGUAAUACGGGGGAUGCGAGCGUUAUCCGGAUUUAUUGGGUUUAAAGGGUGCGUAGGCGGCGAAUUAAGUCAGCGGUGAAAGACCGGGGCUCAACCCUGGAAGUGCCGUUGAUACUGAUUGGCUAGAAUACCCUUGCCGUGGGAGGAAUGAGUGGUGUAGCGGUGAAAUGCAUAGAUAUCACUCAGAACACCGAUUGCGAAGGCAUCUCACGAAGGGGCGAUUGACGCUGAGGCACGAAAGCGUGGGGAUCGAACAGGAUUAGAUACCCUGGUAGUCCACGCAGUAAACGAUGAUGGCUAACUGUCGGGCCUACGGGUUCGGCGGCCAAGCGAAAGCGAUAAGCCAUCCACCUGGGGAGUACGACCGCAAGGUUGAAACUCAAAGGAAUUGACGGGGGCC